GUAUGGUUUUCAAAAUCCGGCGAACAAUGGCUCGGAAUCAGAUUCGUUGUCAAUCUCUGUUCAGCCCCGGGCAGCUAUAAUAUACGAGGAGGGUUGAGCCUCUGCUGGACGUUAAAACACUCGGUGAAAUCAGAAGAGCAC